rnacentral:rRNA from 1 species
CGAAAGCCUGACGCAGCAACGCCGCGUGUGUGAUGAAGGCCCUAGGGUCGUAAAGCACUGUCAGGAGGGAAGAAUUUUGACGGUACCUCCAAAGGAAGCACCGGCUAACUCCGUGCCAGCAGCCGCGGUAAUACGGAGGAUGCAAGCGUUAUCCGGAAUCAUUGGGCGUAAAGCGUCCGCAGGUGGCUGUUCAAGUCUGCUGUCAAAGACAGAAGCUUAACUUCUGAAAGGCAGUGGAAACUGGAGAGCUAGAGUACGGUAGGGGUUGAGGGAAUUCCCAGUGUAGCGGUGAAAUGCGUAGAUAUUGGGAAGAACACCAGUGGCGAAGGCGCUCAACUGGGCCGUAACUGACACUCAGGGACGAAAGCUAGGGGAGCG